rnacentral:tRNA from 1 species
CCUCUAAUAGCUCAGUUGGUAGAGCACUCGUCUAGUUAACGAUAACGAAAGGUCUCCAGUUCGAUUCUGGGUGGAAGUA